ensembl:lncRNA RPL23AP7 ribosomal protein L23a pseudogene 7
GAGUGCGGGACUGGGGCUCCUGGCUGUGGGUGUGGUACCGAGGCUUCAGCGGGUGCCGCCCGCCUAGAGGGAGUGGAGCGGUGAGCACGUCAGGGGUGGGGGGCGCAGGUCAAGCUUUCACCAGUUUUUAAUUCUUUGAUGGGGUAAAUUUGAGCAAUUUUCUCGACUUGUCGACAUUCGUUAUUAACUGAGCAGGAAUCAGGAGAGGAACCCGGUCCUCUCCACACAGCCCAGCAGGUACGCCGCCCAUGUGCCUGUGGAGAAGAGAGGUUCCUGUGGGGCAGACAGGUGUGGACCAAGUAGCUGCGAAAUUUCUUCUGAAGAAAACACACAAGGGGGAAGCGAGUGAGCUCAGUGGAGGAGGGGCGCUACCCCAGGGGACGUCCCCAUGCAUGGGCUUGUGAACCUCGAAUAUGUGAGACGGUCUCAGUCAAUUUAGAAAGUUUAUUUUGCCAAGGUUGAGGACGCACGCCCGUGACACAGCCUCAGGAGGUCUUGACAUGUGCCAAAGGUGGCCGGGACACAGCUUGCUUUUAUACAUGUUAGGGAGACAGGAGACAUCAAUAUAUGUAAGAUGAACGUUGGUUCCCUCGGGAAAGGCGGGACAACUCGAAGCAGGGAGGGGGCUUCCAGGUCACAGAGAGCCUACGACUAGAUUUGCAUCUUUACGUCCUGCGCGGAGGCUGCUACACACAUGCAGAAGUCAUGCUGGUGGCCUGGACAGUGAAGGGAGAGAAGUGGAUUUGGGAGACAUUUAGGAGAUGGCACCAAAAGCGAAGGAAGCUCCUGCUCAUCCUAAAGCCGAAGCCAAAGCGAAGGCUUUAAAGGCCAAGAAGGCAGUGUUGAAAGGUGUCCGCAGCCACACGCAAAAAAGAAGAUCCGCAUGUCACUCACCUUCAGGCGGCCCAAGACACUGCGACUCCGGAGGCAGCCCAGAUAUCCUCGGAAGAGCACCCCCAGGAGAAACAAGCUUGGCCACUAUGCUAUCAUCAAGUUUCCGCUGGCCACUGAGUCGGCCGUGAAGAAGAUAGAAGAAAACAACACGCUUGUGUUCACUGUGGAUGUUAAAGCCAACAAGCACCAGAUCAGACAGGCUGUGAAGAAGCUCUAUGACAGUGAUGUGGCCAAGGUCACCACCCUGAUUUGUCCUGAUAAGGAGAACAAGGCAUAUGUUCGACUUGCUCCUGAUUAUGAUGCUUUCGAUGUUGUAACAAAAUUGGGAUCACCUAAACUGAGUCCAGCUGGCUAACUCUAAAUAUAUGUGUAUCUUUUCAGCAUAAAAAAAUAAUGUUUUUCAUAAGAAUGACAACUUAAUUAGAAUCAAAUCUAUAAGCUUUAAGAUUUUACGUUUCUAGUAAGUAUAAUAUUAGCUUAUUUGACUAGAACUCAAGCAGAAUAGGAAUUUAUGCUUGUUUUAUAUUCAAUAAUGAUAAUUUUGAAGAUAUAGUUGUUUUAUUACACCAAAAAUACUAUAUUAAUCUUAUUUAACUAAGUUUUAUCCAAAUCAUGUUAACUUAAGAAACAUUUGAUCAGUUCCUAUA